AUCAGUCAUCACACAUUGGCAGCUAAUAGUAACAAUUAAUCAGUAACGAUCUCAGAUCAAAAAAUGGCGCGCAAGGCUAUCAUCGUGUUCGCUCUUGUCGUCGUUGCUGCUUUGUGCCUCGUCGCCUCCGCCCAAGACCCUCAGGCUAACAAGCAGGGUGGUGGCGGACCACCAGGCUACGGGCACUACCCGCCGUGGAACGGCGGUUACCCAGGGCGUCCCGACCGGCCGUGGGACCGCCCUGACCGGCCAUGGGACCACCGCCCUCACCCUGGUCCCGGUGGCCACUGCCGUUGGGGGUGCUGCGGCCACCGCAACCACUGGGGGGAGUGCCUCCGCUGCUGCUAAGCUAUAUAGCUCCACCACUCCACAGCUCAAGAUCAACCAUGUCGAUCGGUGACACAAUUACAUACUAUCUACUAUGAUUAAUAAGUAGUAAAUAAUAAAGGAAUAAAUACACGUACACAUACGUGCGGCUGAUCUAGAAACACACAGUUAUAGUACUGUGUGCACUCCUGCAAGGCUAUGUACGUACGUGCGCGUGCGUGUGUGACAGUCGUGUCUUGUUGUAUUUUUCUUUUUUUUCCUUGUAUGUGUCGAUGUCUCGUCAGUGUGUGGCUUUGUGAUGUAAUAAUAUAUACUCCCUCCGUUUUGUUAGUUGAUGCUCUAGUUCAUUCUGAAAUU